rnacentral:rRNA from 1 species
UACGGAGGGAGCUAGCGUUGUUCGGAUAUACUGGGCGUAAAGCGCACGUAGGCGGCGCCGUAAGUUAGGGGUGAAAUCCCGGGGCUCAACCCCGGAACUGCCUUUAAUACUGGGUAUCUCGAGUUCGAGAGAGGUGAGUGGAAUUCCGAGUGUAGAGGUGAAAUUCGUAGAUAUUCGGAGGAACACCAGUGGCGAAGGCGGCUCACUGGCUCGAUACUGACGCUGAGGUGCGAAAGCGUGGGGAGCAAACAGG